ACCUGGGCACAGAAGAGGUCAAUAAAGCCACUAGAUAUUUACUCCUUACAAAGCCAGUUAGGCCCGGCUGCGCUCACUGGAGUCGCGUUACUCGAAUUCCUUAUCCACGCGAUCGUCACCAGAAAAUUCGUUACGUCAGGUAUUCAGUGAAAUCAGCAUCUAGUCCCUUCAAGAACUCUAAGAAAAUAGACCUGAUGCUUCCAGUUGUUCGGGUAAUUCCAAGAGUAAGCUUAAUCAGGAGAGAGCAUCUAACCGCAGAGAACCUGUACAGGCAAAACCAGGAAUUAUCCUCUGAUUUAGAAGAGCCUGUAAGAGAGCCCAUGUCAAACUUUGAGUGUAUCUUCGUUGCAGAUUUCAGAUGAGCGAUAGUCACACCGCAGCUCUGUGCUCGGGGCAUCACCUCGUUGCAGAACUCAGCGGAGGGACUGCAUGCGGCUCCAAGGAAUGGUCCAAAAGUUAAAGCCUUGUAGUAACAAAUUUCUCCCGCAAGUUCCAGUACACAGCAAUUGUUCUGCUGGACACGGUGUAACCAAGGCAUCCCCAGUAAUUCCGAGGGAUCAAAAUGAGUUAUGGCAGAUAUUUUCAAACACAAAGAUUCUACUUCUUUUCCUCUGACAGCAGGAAGACUAAAUUGUAGCAUCUCAUUUUCUCUAUCCCAAAGCCUCAAUCUUUGCUCUCGCUACGGAUCUAUCGG